GGCAGGUUGAAUAUAAUUUUUUUUUAAAUUGUAGUUUUCUUAAGUUAUACGAAAUGAUAAACAAUGCGCAAUGCGACACUGAGAAACUACAACUCCCAUGAGCACUCCCUGCACCCAAAGCACCACCUUCCAGAGAGCGCGCGCUCAUGGAUUUGCGAAUGCACAAGAGGAUGCAGUCUGAGCGCAUACACACUUCGGGAAGAUAAAACAAUUGCAUGAAAGUGAUUGAAGAGAUAUAAAUUGCAUGCACACUUUCAGGGCAAGAGCGGAGAGAAAUUCAGCGCACACCUGAAUGCACACGAAAUCAAAGGAAACCCACCAGCUGAGAGGUUCGCGCAUCACUUAUAAAAUAUAAUCUGCAUAAACAAGUUGACAGUAAAAUUCACGUUCAAUUUUUUGACAGUAUUUACAACCGUUGUUAAUAAAUAUUUAAAGUGGUUGGCGAGUGGUUUUGUGUUUAUCUUUUCAGUUAACCUUCUACACCCCUGCUUCAAUUUUAAUAUAUUCAUUAGAAGUUAAUCUAUUUAUGCCUUACUGGCAUGUUUUUCAUGCACCUUAAUAUAUUAUAUAUGAUCUAUACUGAUAUACCUGCUAUAUACCAGCUUAUAAAUAUUGUCCUUUGAAAUUCAAUCUGCAUCUAAUUUAGCUAAACCAAGUGAAAAUGCUGAGGGGCUAGUAACUUUGGAAAACAACUAGCCACUUUGGCUGGUGAGCAAAAAAGUUAAUGUCAAGCCCUGCUUUUAAUCCAAGUACAUAUUCAAAUAACUAACACGCAUAGACAUUAAACAUACUGAAUGAAUAAAAAAACAAAGCAUAUCACUUCCAAAUACGUUAAACUAUCACUUUUAAGAAAUCGCUGCCACUCGCUGGAAUUUAUAAAACUGCAGUAAUGAUUUAAGUGACGGUGGGCAGCAGAAAACUCCAGUAAGAGGCCUUUGCAAUGUUUCCCAUACGUUGAUUUAUUCGUGGCGCACCGCCACAGAAUCAGCGCUGGCGAGUAGCAUCUGCCUGCACAACUGGAGGCUGCACUUUUAGGACCGUAGUUUUAGGACCGCAGUUCUAGGACCCUGGAUUUUAGUGACAACGCCACCUAGCGAAUUAGAGGACCAGCAAAGAUGGACGACAAACAGAGUCAACUAAGGCACUGUACACCGUCGAGAAGCUGCUCACAAACAAGAGAAUGCUGAAAGAUGUUGAGAAACUCAGCCCUCACUUUCAAACUUCGUCUUUGGAAGCUUUUCACAGCGUAAUUUUACGCUUUGCUCCCAAAAACGUUGUAUUGUUAUGCAGACUGUACUUGGCAUGUAUGCAUUUCAAUGAGGACUCCAACCGUCCUCAGGCUAAAACAAAAAUGGGAAAGCCAGUGUAUAGGCUUUUGUUUCCCAAAGCCAAAAAGGGGGAAUACUCAGGGCCGGCGUCAUGGGGCGGCAUUCGCGGGCAGUGCCCCCCCGAACAGGUUGUUGUGCCCCCCUACAAAGUUUUUAUUAAUUUAAUAUAUAUCAAGAAUAAUUAAAAUAAAUUAAACAUUGAAUGUUUCAUGACUUGUAAUGUAAUCAAAUGAUGAAAAUAUAGUUGAUAUAUGUUUUCUUUAAUUAAAAUAGACCAGUUUCUCUGAUUGGAUGUAUUGCCGCGUCUCACCCGUCUUAAGUCUUUAGCAUAUUUGUGACUUGAUACUAGCAACGUGUUUUUUCGCGGCAUUUUAUGGAUCGUGUAAAAUAUGAAUAUUAGAACAUUUAGAACGAAUCAGCACCGCCUGCUUCAUCUGACUUCAUGCAAACACAGACUGGCUCAAACUCAGAGAUUAGAGGUCGAGGUGGAAUUUACAGGACACUGUUUUAAGGAAGUUUAAUGUUCGUACACGCCGUCUUCAGCUAUUUUAAAGGUAAGUUAGCGUUGUUUUAAAUUACGCAAGCUUAAAUGUGAAGUGUGGCUAUAGACCGUUAACAGCAUUACGACGUGAUUAUGGUAAAGCGGCUUUUUUAAAGCUAGGACGCGGUGUGCGCUGUGCCCAUUCAUUUCAAUGGCUUGCGCCGCGCGAGGGCGGUUUGUUGUUGCGUCGAGUAGCGCGAGCGCAGCGGAGCUCAGCUUGCGCUCACGCCGCGGUCGAAGUUCAGUAGUUUUGCGCAUAGUUUGU